AACGUAGGAGGCGAGCGUUAUCCGGAUUUACUGGGCGUAAAGCGCACGCAGGUGGCUGUGUAAGUCGGACAUGAAAGCUCCUGGCUUAACUGGGAGAGGUGGUUCGAAACUGCACAGCUUGAGGUUGGGAGAGGGACGUGGAAUUCCCGGUGUAGUGGUGGAAUGCGUAGAUAUCGGGAGGAACACCAGUGGCGCAAGCGGCGUCCUGGCCCACACCUGACGCUGAGGUGCGAAAGCGUGGGGAGCAAACAGG
rnacentral:rRNA from 1 species